GCAGUCGAGCGAUGGAUGGGAGCUUGCUCCCUGAAGUUAGCGGCGGACGGGUGAGUAACACGUGGGCAACCUGCCUGUAAGACUGGGAUAACUCGCGGAAACGUGAGCUAAUACCGGAUAAUUUCUUUCUUCACAUGGAGAAAGGUUGAAAGACGGUUAUGCUGUCACUUACAGAUGGGCCCGCGGCGCAUUAGCUAGUUGGUGAGGUAACGGCUCACCAAGGCGACGAUGCGUAGCCGACCUGAGAGGGUGAUCGGCCACACUGGGACUGAGACACGGCCCAGACUCCUACGGGAGGCAGCAGUAGGGAAUCUUCCGCAAUGGACGAAAGUCUGACGGAGCAACGCCGCGUGAGUGAAGAAGGUUUUCGGAUCGUAAAACUCUGUUAUCAGGGAAGAACAAGUACCGUUUAACUGACGGUACCUUGACGGUACCUGACCAGAAAGCCACGGCUAACUACGUGCCAGCAGCCGCGGUAAUACGUAGGUGGCAAGCGUUGUCCGGAAUUAUUGGGCGUAAAGCGCGCGCAGGCGGUCUCUUAAGUCUGAUGUGAAAUCUCGCGGCUCAACCGUGAGCGGUCAUUGGAAACUGGGGGACUUGAGUGCAGAAGAGAAGAGCGGAAUUCCACGUGUAGCGGUGAAAUGCGUAGAGAUGUGGAGGAACACCAGUGGCGAAGGCGGCUCUUUGGUCUGUAACUGACGCUGAGGCGCGAAAGCGUGGGGAGCGAACAGGAUUAGAUACCCUGGUAGUCCACGCCGUAAACGAUGAGUGCUAAGUGUUAGAGGGUUUCCGCCCUUUAGUGCUGCAGCAAACGCAUUAAGCACUCCGCCUGGGGAGUACGGCCGCAAGGCUGAAACUCAAAGGAAUUGACGGGGGCCCG
rnacentral:rRNA from 2 species